CUAAUUUCAAGAAACCUAGAGAGCCACACACCCUCCUCUCCAAGAUCCAGCCGCCCAACCCUCUCUUAAGCCGCCGCCGCCGGUGGUGCUCCAAACACCACCCAACUUACGCCAAUCUCUUUCUCUCUUCACCCUCUCGCCGAUUCCAAGCCUCGAAUCCUCGAAAACCCCUUCUAACUCUCAGCCGCCCCACUCCAUCUUCACCCCAUUCAACCACUUUAAAAUCUUAUCUCCUUCACUGUACCACCACUUAGCUCCACUAUUACAAUCAAGAAUUGAAAGCAUCUUUUACACAUUUUGACAAGCACCUAGCAGUCAUGUAAAAGCCUUGGCCGCCGAACUCCACUCCUCUUUCCACUUUCACCUUCUACACAAAGAACGUCCCUCCCCUCCAUUAUUCUGCUAUAUGAGCUUCUAUAUUCCAACUCUAGAUAUUACCAUUGCAGUAUUACUAAGGAUUUGAGAUGAUAAUCAUAGAUAAGAUUUUCAAAAUUGCACCGCCACAGUUAAGGUUGUUCGAGUUGCGCUCGAUUCUAGUUAAAAAGCAAGGUCGUCGUUCAAGCUUUACAACGAAGUUUCCGUUCUUGGCUCGACAGUUCCGGUCCCAUGUGAUUUCAGUCGAGGAUUUCCGGUCAAGUUCUGGCCUCGGUUCCUAUUCACGCACUGCUACUGUAAUCAGAUGACUCAUUUUGAGGUAUAGAUCCAUUUGCCGGAGAUUGAGCAUGACAGACGCCCCAGGACCAUCCAGUCAGGACCACUGCAUUCAUGAGUUGCUUGAGGAUACUUUUAUGUUUUGAGUCUGUCAUUCAUGUUGCCUUUUAUUUUUAGUCUUGUACAGUAGUAUCGAAUCUUUUAGGUGGUGUCAGAGUCUGUCCUAGUCUAGUUGAGUUUGUCGAGUCUUUUGUUAUCGUAUUUCCUAUUUUGUAUGUGAAAACCAAAAAGAGUUAUAAAUGAAAAAUUCAAAAAGAUUUUAUUUUUAGUA